rnacentral:tRNA from 1 species
GUGAGUAUAGUUUACAAAAAACAUUAGACUGUGAAUCUAACAACAAGAGAUAACACUCUUUACCCACC